rnacentral:rRNA from 1 species
UACCUACUUCUUGACAUCCAGAGAACCUUAGCAGAGAUGCUUUGGUGCCUUCGGGAACUCUGAGACAGGUGCUGCAUGGCUGUCGUCAGCUCGUGUUGUGAAAUGUUGGGUUAAGUCCCGCAACGAGCGCAACCCUUAUCCUUUGUUGCCAGCGAUUCGGCCGGGAACUCAAAGGAGACUGCCAGUGAUAAACUGGAGGAAGGUGGGGAUGACGUCAAGUCAUCAUGGCCCUUACGAGUAGGGCUACACACGUGCUACAAUGGCAUAUACAAAGAGAAGCGACCUCGCGAGAGCAAGCGGACCUCAUAAAGUAUUCGUAGUCCGGAUUGGAGUCUGCAACUCGACUCCAUGAAGUCGGAAUCGCUAGUAAUCGUGUU